UUGACAAUGCUUUUGAGAACUGUGUUGGCAGCGACAUUUCUGUUGUUGCGGUUAUAAACAGCAACUUUUGAACUUGCAUCAUCGAUUUAUUCGCUGCAAAGACUGUUUUGUUGUUGUCUUUGUCAUUUUUGCUUUAGAAAAGCAAUAUUUUCGUUUUUUUUGGUGUUUUUUUUACCUUUAUUUGUUAUAUAAAAUGUCCAGCUUCAAUGUAAUGUUAUGAACGAUUAAUUGUUUGGAUUCCGAAUAUAGACUUUUGUUUACUAUAGUGGUGGUGGCGUUGGCGGUUGAGA